CAGAGACUGCAAGCGUUAUUCGGAUUCACUGGGCGUAAAGGGUGCGCAGGCGUUGGGUGUGUCAGAUGUGAAAUCCCGAGGCUUAACCUCGGAACUGCGUCUGAAACUACUCGACUAGAGUACUGGAGAGGUAACGGAAUUCACGGUGUAGCAGUGAAAUGCGUAGAUAUCGUGAGGAACACCAGAGGCGAAGGCGGUUACCUGGACAGUUACUGACGCUCAGGCACGAAAGCAUGGGGAGCAAAAGGGAUUAGAUACCCCCUGUAGUCCAUGCCCUAAACGGUGCACACUAGGUCUUUAGCGGAUUCGACCCCCACUAGGGCCCAAGCUAACGCGUUAAGUGUGCCGGCCUGAGGACUACGGUCGCAAGACUA
rnacentral:rRNA from 1 species